rnacentral:rRNA from 1 species
GAUGAACGCUGGCGGCGUGCCUAAUACAUGCAAGUCGAGCGAAUGGAUUAAGAGCUUGCUCUUAUGAAGUUAGCGGCGGACGGGUGAGUAACACGUGGGUAACCUGCCCAUAAGACUGGGAUAACUCCGGGAAACCGGGGCUAAUUCCGGAUAAUCUUUUGAACUGCAUGGUUCCAAAUUGAAAGGCGGCUUCGGCUGUUACUUAGUGCAGGACCCGGGUCGCAUUAGCUAGUUGGUGAGGUAACGGCUCACCAAGGCAACGAUGCGUAGCCGACCUGGGAGGGUGAUCGGCCACACGGGGACUGAGACACGGCCCAGACUCCUACGGGAGGCAGCAGUAGGGAAUCUUCCGCAAUGGACGAAAGUCUGACGGAGCAACGCCGCGUGAGUGAUGAAGGCUUUCGGGUCGUAAAACUCUGUUGUUAGGGAAGAACAAGUGCUAGUUGAAUAAGCUGGCACCUUGACGGUACCUAACCAGAAAGCCACGGCUAACUACGUGCCAGCCGCCGCCGUAA